UACGAAGGGGGGCUAGCGUUGCUCGGAAUCACUGGGCGUAAAGGGUGCGUAGGCGGGUCUUUAAGUCAGGGGUGAAAUCCUGGAGCUCAACUCCAGAACUGCCUUUGAUACUGAAGAUCUUGAGUUCGGGAGAGGUGAGUGGAACUGCGAGUGUAGAGGUGAAAUUCGUAGAUAUUCGCAAGAACACCAGUGGCGAAGGCGGCUCUCUGGGACGGUACUGACGCUGAGACGCGAAAGCGUGGGGAGCGAACAGG
rnacentral:rRNA from 1 species